CACGAACGCUGGCGGCAGGCUUAACACAUGCAAGUCGAGCGCCCCGCAAGGGGAGCGGCAGACGGGUGAGUAACGCGUGGGAAUCUACCCAUCUCUACGGAAUAACGCAUGGAAACGUGUGCUAAUACCGUAUACGUCCUUCGGGAGGAAGAUUUAUCGGAGAUGGAUGAGCCCGCGUUGGAUUAGCUAGUUGGUGGGGUAAAGGCCUACCAAGGCGACGAUCCAUAGCUGGUCUGAGAGGAUGAUCAGCCACACUGGGACUGAGACGGCCCAGACUCCUACGGGAGGCAGCAGUGGGGAAUAUUGGACAAUGGGCGCAAGCCUGAUCCAGCCAUGCCGCGUGAGUGAUGAAGGCCCUAGGGUUGUAAAGCUCUUUCACCGGUGAAGAUAAUGACGGUAACCGGAGAAGAAGCCCCGGCUAACUUCGUGCCAGCAGCCGCGGUAACAC
rnacentral:rRNA from 1 species